rnacentral:rRNA from 1 species
CCGAAAGGCAGGAGUGCCUGCAAGGGAGCGCGGAGACAGGUGGUGCAUGGCUGUCGUCAGCUCGUGUCGUGAGAUGUUGGGUUAAGUCCCGCAACGAGCGCAACCCUCACCUCUUGUUGCCAUCAGGUCAUGCUGGGCACUCUAGAGGAGCUGCCCCGGUCAACGGGGAGGAAGGCGGGGAUGACGUCAAGUCAUCAUGCCCCUUACGUCCUGGGCUACACACGUGCUACAAUGGCCGGUACAAAGGGAUGCCACACCGCGAGGUAGAGCUAAACCCAAAAAGCCGGUCUAAGUUCAGAUUGGAGUCUGCAACUCGACUCCAUGAAGGAGGAAUCGCUAGUAAUCGCGUAUCAGCACGACGCGGUGAAUACGUUCCCGGGCCUUGUACACACCGCCCGUCACACCACGAAAGUCUG